UACGGGAGGCAGCAAUGGGGAAUAUUGCACAAUGGGCGCAAGCCUGAUGCAGCCAUGCCGCGUGUAUGAAGAAGGCCUUCGGGUUGUAAAGUACUUUCAGUCGUGAGGAAGGUGUUAAGGUUAAUAACCUUAGCAAUUGACGUUAGCGACAGAAGAAGCACCGGCUAACUCCGUGCCAGCAGCCGCGGUAAUACGGAGGGUGCGAGCGUUAAUCGGAAUUACUGGGCGUAAAGGGCACGCAGGCGGUUAAUUAAGUUGGAUGUGAAAUCCCCGGGCUUAACCUGGGAAUGGCAUUCAAGACUGGUUAGCUAGAGUCUUGUAGAGGGGGUAGAAUUCCAUGUGUAGCGGUGAAAUGCGUAGAGAUGUGGAGGAAUACCGGUGGCGAAGGCGGCCCCGUGGACAAAGGACUGACGCUCAUGUGCGAAAGCGUGGGGAGCAAACAGGGAUUAGAUACC
rnacentral:rRNA from 1 species